AGGCCUGUUGUAGAGCAGCCUCCUGAAAGACGGGCGAGCGCGGUGGAUGCUGUGUUUUGCUGCUUGCUGCUGCUGCUGCUACUGCUGCUGCUGACAUGUAGCCUGGUACCACAUAACAGAUGCCACCUCAUUAUUUGCAUUUACUUUUGCAGAAUGACGGGCAUGUUCGCUUACCCCCCUUCUUUUUCUGCAAAUCGACAGGAGAUGCAACCCGGGAGAAGUGCAAUAAAACAAACUCGUGCUCUCAAAGGUGUGCGCGGCUUUGUACCGGCGCGUUUUGCCUGUUAGCUGCACAUCCUGUGCCUUUUCAUCUGUCAGUUAUUCCCCCUCAUGUUUUGUCAUUUUCUCUGUAUAUUCAUUUGUCGCCUCGUAUUUUUUCAAUGCCUGCAUACACCCGCGGUUGUAAUUAAAUUUCUCCCUCAAAUGCAACAAAGCGCAAGAAGUUAUUUUUUUCCUUCUUCUUCUUCUUUUUCUUCUGCUUCUUCUUCUUCGAGAGAGAUGUGUUUGAUUACCGAUGUGAUGUUGAGACAACCUGCGCGUCUCCUGUAGAUUUGUGCGUCCUGAGAGCAAGGCGGGGAUGUGAUCUUUCA